AGUUUCAACAUAUCUCAGGUUGGUAUAAGAAAUUAAAUAAGAAUUAUGAAAGAGUUUUGUGGUGUAAAUCUUGAAAUCUCUCAGACUUGUGAAUGUUAAAAAUUUCCCCAUCAGGGAAUUCUUAAUUGGAACAAAUUCCCUACUGAGAAAUGUAAACCUCAAAUUUCCUUAGAUUUAAAGUGAUUCCCUUGUAACAGAAACAUUCCCCAUUUUGAUGUGAGAACUCGCCAGGAUCAGAAAUGGGAGGACCUCUACUCCAACCUUACUUAAGACUGCUUUAGGGGAGAAAACUCCUUGCUAUGGGAGGACCCCUACUCUACCCGUACUUAAGACUGCUUUAGGAGAGAAAACUCCUUGCUAAACAAUGAAAGUACUUGGACCCAUGCUUAUAAUAAGGCAAGGAGUUCUUUGAGCCAGGCCUGUUUUUAGAAUUGAUACAAUGAGAUGCUAGGUACCUAAAAGGGUCAGGCAAGUUUUCUCUUGAUGAGAUUAGUUGACUCAGCUGUGUUUUCUCUCAUUCAGACUUACUGAGGAGAUUGGUCGACACAGCAGCAUUUUUUUUCUGAUUCAGACUUACUGAGGAGAUUGGUCGACUUAGCAGGAAUUUAGAUGGGCAGUCCUUUGGAAAGCGCCUACAGUGAUUGGUAGAUGUAGGGACUUAGGGGAGGUGACAUGGGAGAAAAACCCCUAUAUAAGAAAAAGCAGAAUCUCUUGAGGAGAUAUAGAUAUCCUUUUGGAGCAAUCCUUUGGAGGAUCUCUGAUGAGGAUCGCUUGGGAAGAAUCUCUUGAGAGAGGCUCUGGAGAAGGGAAGCUCUUGGAGGACAAUCUCUAAGGAGGUCUCGCUGGAAGGCUCUCUGGUGAAGUCAGCUGAGAUGGAGCUGGCCUGGUGUCACUAGAAUCCUUGUUUAGGCAGACCUUGUGGUGAGUGUUAAAAGACUGACUGACUGAUUCUCUCUCUUAAGACUUAGGUCUAGGCCAUAUUGGCUUGAGGCCCUUCAUAAUUAUUCCUUUCCUACUCUUUCUCUCUUUCUCUAAUUCCUCACUAUAUUAUUAAUUAAAAAUCUCUAUAAAACCCAGUUGACUUGGGUAUUUGAAUAAUUGGGAAUAUUUCCCUGGUGACCACCUUAUAUUUGAUUUAAAAACCAAGACACUGUAGUGAAACAUAUUUUCUGCGGUCAAAUUUACUCACCGCCCCCCCUUAUAUCUAUCACAAUUUAUAUCUUCCACCAUUUUAACUCACUACAGUUUAAGACAUCAACUAUUUUAAAAUCUCACAGGACAGAAUUAGCACCAAUCAGUAGUAUUUACAAAAAGGCAAAUCUCAGGCAUGGAGAUGAGAGGAAUUACUGAGGAAUUAUCCAAUCUGUACUAGAGCAAGAAUCUUCCUCCUAUAACAAUCUUAAAAAGUAGUUCUCUAGCCUUCAUUGAAAGAUAUCAAGUGAAGCAACACCCACUACUUCUCAAAGUAACCUAUUCUACUUUUGGUUAAUUCUAAUUGUUAAGGGCAGCAGUGAAUAGAGCAUAGGGCCUGUAGUCAGGAAGACUUCUUGAGUUGAAAUCUGACCUCAGACAUUUUUGUGACCCUAAAUAAGUCACUUAACCCUCUUUGUCUCAGUUUCCUUAUCUGUAAAAUGAAUUGGUGAAGGAAAUGUCAAACCAAGCCAGUAUCUUUGCCAAGAAAACUCUAUAUGGGGUCCUGAAGAAUUGAACACCACUGAAGUAAUUGAACAACAAUUGUUAAGUAUAUAAGAACAAUAUUCCGAAACAUGUCUCUCAACUUAAAUUCAUUAAUACUAGGUUUUUUCCUCUAGGGCAAAGUAAAACAAGUCUAUACAUCUUUCUCAAGAUAAUCCUUCAAAUACUCAAAGACAACUAUCCUAUCCUCCCUAAGGUUCUCUUUUCCAGACUAAACAUUUUCAAUGUCUUCCUUAAGUGAGACGGUUUGAAGACUUUUUGCCAUUCUGGUCACAUUCCUCUAAAUGCUUUUUAUCUUAGAAAUGUUCUUUCUAAAAUGUGUUGCCCAGAAGUAAAUCCAGAUGUGACCUGGUCAGAGAAGGAUACAGUUGAGUCAUACUCUUCACCCAGUCUGGACACUGCCUCUCAAUGAAAACUAUGAACCUAAUCAUUUUUUUGACCAUCAUCUCACACUGACUCAUAUUAGAUGACUAAAACUAUCAAGCCUUUGACAGAUGAAUUUAUGUCCAUCUAGUCACAGCUCUAUCAAUUGGUGUUUCUGAAGUUCACUUUAAAUAAAAAUUCAAAUAUAAGAUUUUGCA
rnacentral:lncRNA from 1 species